GUCCCUUUUCCAUAAACAUGACCCCUAUCUUUGUUGUUACCAACAUUAUAGAACCCUUGUCCUUUCUACCAGGCAUAGUAGCCAUAUGAUCCAAAAGCAGAACCCCCUCUAAUGGCGUCUCCGUAAUGACAGUAGGCCAUGUUGUUAGGGUGCAUGUGGUUCAGGUAUCCAAGUGCUUGGACUACACUUGACGAUGGUCGUCCAUUGCGCAAAUUCUGCCAAGUAGGAAAGGAUGCAUUUACCCUUUCAAAUGAUGC